CCGGCUGUCGCGUGCACAUUGCUACACUUGCUUCUCGCAAGCAACUCGAGAGCGAAAGAAGGGGAAGCUAGACUAUUUGAAGAGCCGGGCCUAGGCGAUUUUGAUCAAAGUUGGCUUUUUGUUAGCGAAUUUUAAUGCAUUGCUUUCGGUAUUCACGUAUGUUGUUGUGAAAACGCCAGUAAGGCUCUUUUCAGUCUGUCCAAAAGUCUAGUAUUGGUCAUAGUGACGGACACCUCCUUGAUCCUGUGUUGUGUUUACAAUCUAACACAGCAGCAGCUCUAUUGGACUGGGGUCUUGUUACAGCAGAUGUGCUUUUGUGAGUCCAUAGUUCCCCUGAGGACCACCGCCCUUCCUUUAUAGCAGCCUGCCUGUCCCCACUUCAGCAUUCCCAUUCAUCUCUAAAUAAGGAAGAGAGGGAUGAAGAAGGAAACAUGGUGAACUGAAUAAGAAAGGAAGCAAGGGGAAUCCAGAGCCUGCUCCAGGUCUGUGACAGCUAUGCCCUAAAAAGGAAAUGAAGUCUGUGGGCAUGAUGGGAGGGGCACCCAAAUGAAAGAGAGAGGCAGAAGCACAGGCCAGGUAAUGACAGACAGGUCUCUCUCUUGGAGACGGCAGUCCCAACCAAUUAGCUGCCACCUUGUUUUAAUUUAUGACUGUGUGAAUGAAGCUGGGGGAAACCACAAGAAUCCCCAAUCUAAUUAGCUGUCCCGUUGACCAUUCUGUUUACUACAGGUGUGGCCUGGCAGUAGUUAUUAUAUAUGAUGCAGUUGCACUAAAGGGUCAGUAGAUGGCGCAGCAGAGCCCCAAACAGCCACAAAAUCCACGUAAUGCUGCACCCAAAAAGAAACCGGCAGCUGCAAGGACAUGCAUUCCACCUCCUCAGAUCCUGUUCCCUAUCCAUCUGACACACUUUGCACAUGAAGAUCAAUGGAGCCAAGGGCAACGUGAAAGGGGAUCCAGGGCCAAGGAGGAGAGCAGAUUUGUGUUUUAUUUGUUCUGUGGCGCAGACCCGUUUGAUGUGACCCUCUCCUGUUUCAUUCAUCCGGAAAAUCUGCUGUGUGUGAGUGAAAACUGGGGGAGUGGGUCUCACUUGAUACUCAGAUGUAAUGAGGAACUGCCAGUCAUGUAUAAGGGACAGUUCACCCAAAAAUGUUUAAUUCUGUCAUCAUUUACUCCCCCUAAUGUCAUUCCAUACUUUCUUUCUUCUGUGGAACAUGAAAGAAGAUAUUUUGAGAAAUGUCUACAUGUUGUCAUUAUUAUUAUUAUUAUUAUUAUUUUGUCAUUACAAAGGUAGUCAAUGACAACCAAAACUUUUGUUACCAGAAUUCUUCAGAAUAUCUGAAUAUUUUAUGUGUAUUGCAGAAGAGAGAAAAUCCUACAGGUUUGCUACAACAUGAGGGGGAGUAGAAUUUUCUUUUUUUUUUUUUUUUUGGGUGAACUAUGCCUUUAAGAAAUAGCAGUAGCGUAAAACAUUGAAUGAAUUAAAAAUAGUAAAAGAUAUGGAAAUGUUGGUAUAUGAGUACUGUUUCCUGUCAGGGUCAUCUUACAGUACCAAUUUCUGAGGAUCUUGGUGAUGAUGUGUAAUUUUACUGAUCUUAAUUUCAUAUGCAUAGACUUCAGCUUUAUUAGGAAUUUACUCCUGAAAGUGUAAACACUGUACUUUUAUUUAGUUUGAGUGUAUUUUGAUCAGCCCCCAACACACCAACAUUGACUCAACGAAAAUGUGACUUUGGGCCAGGACGGUCUGUUUUGCAAACUGUCUUAGUUUCACAUACAUCUCACACUUUUUUUUAGCACAGAAGUCUCACACUUUCACAGUUCUCACAUUAAGUUUCUAUCGAAAUAGCAAAAGAUAAAACAGAGGAUGCAACAGGAAAAUUAGUUUGGGGUUUCCGAAAGCAUUGUAGUGCAUUGCUUGUUUAGACAUGACAGAGAUAUGACUGUUAUCUAGUCUUUUGUAAUUAACCUCCGGGCUUUCCUGUGUGCUCCUAAUUACUCUGCAUAAACAAUGUGGGAUCAGUGCUAAUCUGAAAGAGCCCAUUCAGUGGCUUUCAUGUGGGGCUUCUAAUGGGCUCUGCAUGCGGGGGAGUGUAGGCUGAUCCAGAGGAGGUGGUGGGGGGAGUUCACAGGAGGGAACUGUUGACAGAUCACCCACACAACUGGAUUCAGAAACCAGGGUUGAAGGCAUAAACUCGGCAUCACAUUAAACAGCCUGGUUCCUCUCGGAAGCCAUAACCACCAAACCCACACCAUAAACACAGGUCCUGCAAGUCUUAAUGCACAUAUGGCGAUGCAGACAAGGCUUACAGACUUUGAUUAGAUUAUAUUAGAUUACAAGUACAGCCAGUUAAAUGCACUUCACAUCCAACUAGAAGUAUAAAUUGUAGCAAAUAAAAGAUGCAAAUGCUGGACAAGUGUCAUUAUAGUGAAAGUGGUCAGUGCAGAAGAUAUGGAACAGAAUGUGUAACUGAAUGUCUCUGCAUUUUGAAAGCUUAGGGUUAGGUUAGAAACAAAGAAACUUCAUAAUGUAAAUGAAUUAGAACUAUUUCAGAUUGUAAUAAGCAAAUUAGUGACAUUGAUCACGUGACUGUAAAGAAGGUCAGAUGUUCUUCCAUUGAAGCUCAAGAUACUCUUUGGAUCUCAAAUCAUGCAGCGCAUGGUCAUCAGGUUUCAGUCAAUCUUGCUCGGGUUCUG